rnacentral:rRNA from 1 species
UGCGGCCUACGGGGCGCAGCAGUGAGGAAUAUUGGUCAAUGGGCGGGAGCCUGAACCAGCCAAGCCGCGUGAAGGAAGAAGGCGCCAGGCGUCGUAAACUUCUUUUGUCGGGGAACAAAGGGCGCCACGUGUGGCGUUGUGAGUGUACCCGAAGAAAAAGCAUCGGCUAACUCCGUGCCAGCAGCCGCGGUACUACGGAGGAUGCGAGCGUUAUCCGGAUUUAUUGGGUUUAAAGGGUGCGUAGGCGGUCCGGAAAGUCAGCGGUAAAAGCGCGGGG